GAUGAACGCUGGCUACAGGCUUAACACAUGCAAGUCGAGGGGAAACGACGGGGAAGCUUGCUUCCCCGGGCGUCGACCGGCGCACGGGUGAGUAACGCGUAUCCAACCUGCCUCUGACUGAGGGAUAACCCGUCGAAAGUCGGCCUAAUACCUCAUGGUAUCGUCUGCGGGCAUCCAACGACGAUUAAAGAUUUCAUCGGUCAGGGAUGGGGAUGCGUCUGAUUAGCUUGUUGGCGGGGUAACGGCCCACCAAGGCUACGAUCAGUAGGGGUUCUGAGAGGAAGGUCCCCCACAAUGGAACUGAGACACGGUCCAAACUGCUACGGGAGGCAGCAGUGAGGAAUAUUGGUCAAUGGGCGAGAGCCUGAACCAGCCAAGUGGCGUGCAGGAAGACGGCCCUAUGGGUUGUAAACUGCUUUUAUGCGGGGAUAAAGUGAGGGACGUGUCCCUCAUUGCAGGUACCGCAUGAAUAAGGACCGGCUAAUUCCGUG
rnacentral:rRNA from 1 species